rnacentral:rRNA from 1 species
CCCCAGCGCCACAAGUGGCAUCCAGCUUUAUUUGGUCUAAAGCGUCCGUAGCUGGUCUGGCAAAUGCCAUGUGAAAUGGUUGCGCUUAACGUAACCACGCGCAAGGUAGACUACUAGACUAGGGACCAGGAGAGGUAAGCGGUAUUCUGUGGGGAGCGGUAAAAUGCUAUAAUCCACGGAGGACCACCGAUGGCGAAGGCAGCUUACCAGAAUGGAUCCGACAGUGAGGGACGAAAGCUAGGGGAGCGAUCCGG